GCAUAUCAAUAAGCGGAGGAAAAGAACCAACAGGGAUUGCCCUAGUAACGGCGAGUGAAGCGGCAACAGCUCAAAUUUGAAAUCUGGCUCUUUCAGAGUCCGAGUUGUAAUUUGCAGAGGGCGCUUUGGUGUUGGCAGCGGUCCAAGUUCUUUGGAACAGGACGUCACAGAGGGUGAGAAUCCCGUACGUGGUCGCUAGCCCUCACCGUGUAAAGCCCCUUCGACGAGUCGAGUUGUUUGGGAAUGCAGCUCUAAAUGGGAGGUAAAUUUCUUCUAAAGCUAAAUACUGGCCAGAGACCGAUAGCGCACAAGUAGAGUGAUCGAAAGAUGAAAAGCACUUUGGAAAGAGAGUUAAACAGCACGUGAAAUUGUUGAAAGGGAAGCGCUUGCAGCCAGACUUGUUUGUAGUUGCUUAUCUAGGCUUCUGCCUAGUGCACUCUUCUGCAGACAGGCCAGCAUCAGUUUGGGCGGUUGGAUAAAGGUCUCUGUCAUGUACCUCCUUUCGGGGAGGCCUUAUAGGGGAGACGACAUGCAACCAGCCUGGACUGAGGUCCGCGCAUUUGCUAGGAUGCUGGCGUAAUGGCUGUAAGCGGCCCGUCUUGAAACACGGACCAAGGAGUCUAACAUCUAUGCGAGUGUUUGGGUGUCAAGCCCAGACGCGUAAUGAAAGUGAACGGAGGUGGGAACCCUUUGGGUGCACCAUCGACCGAUCCUGAUGUCUUCGGAUGGAUUUGAGUAAGAGCAUGGCUGUUGGGACCCGAAAGAUGGUGAACUAUGCUUGAAUAGGGUGAAGCCAGAGGAAACUCUGGUGGAGGCUCGCAGCGGUUCUGACGUGCAAAUCGAUCGUCAAAUUUGGGCAUAGGGGCGAAAGACUAAUCGAACUAUCUAGUAGCUGGGUUCUGCGA
rnacentral:rRNA from 1 species